rnacentral:rRNA from 1 species
UACAGAGGGGGCAAGCGUUGUUCGGAAUUACCGGGCGUAAAGGGCGCGUAGGCGGCCUUCUAAGUCGAACGUGAAAUCCCCGGGCUCAACCCGGGAACUGCGUCCGAUACUGGAAGGCUUGAAUCCGGGAGAGGGAUGCGGAAUUCCAGGUGUAGCGGUGAAAUGCGUAGAUAUCUGGAGGAACACCGGUGGCGAAGGCGGCAUCCUGGACCGGUAUUGACGCUGAGGCGCGAAAGCCAGGGGAGCAAACGGG